rnacentral:rRNA from 1 species
UGGGGAAUAUUGGACAAUGGGGGAACCCUGAUCCAGCCAUGCCGCGUGUGUGAAGAAGGCCUUAUGGUUGUAAAGCACUUUAAGCGAGGAGGAGGGUACUGGUAUUAAUACUACCAGCUACUGGACGUUACUCGCAGAAUAAGCACCGGCUAACUCUGUGCCAGCAGCCGCGGUAAUACAGAGGGUGCGAGCGUUAAUCGGAUUUACUGGGCGUAAAGCGUGCGUAGGCGGCUAAUUGAGUCGGAUGUGAAAUCCCCGAGCUUAACUUGGGAAUUGCAUUCGAUACUGGUUAGCUAGAGGGUGGGAGAGGAUGGUAGAAUUCCAGGUGUAACGGUGAAAUGCGUAGAGAUCUGGAGGAAUACCGAUGGCGAAGGCAGCCAUCUGGCCUAACACUGACGCUGAGGUACGAAAGCAUGGGGAGCAAACAGG